rnacentral:rRNA from 1 species
UACGGAGGGUGCAAGCGUUAUCCGGAUUCACUGGGUUUAAAGGGUGCGUAGGUGGACUGGUAAGUCAGGGGUGAAAUCUCCGAGCUCAACUCGGAAACUGCCUUUGAUACUAUCAGUCUUGAAUAUUGUGGAGGUCAGCGGAAUAUGUCAUGUAGCGGUGAAAUGCUUAGAUAUGACAUAGAACACCAAUUGCGAAGGCAGCUGGCUACGCAUAUAUUGACACUGAGGCACGAAAGCGUGGGGAUCAAACAGG